AAUUCAUGAUGAUUUUUUUUUUUUAAAGAAAACCUUUCUGGAGUGUUUUUCACACCCUCCUUUACAUUAUUUCAUCAUAUGGCACGUUUUUACAACAUGUUUGAAAAAUUGCAUUUUUUUUCGACAUAGUAUAGUAAGGCGUUUUUUUUGCGCCAAAAUUCAUGAUGAUUUUUUUUUCAAAGAACACCUUUCUGGAGUGUUUUUCACGGCCUCUUUUACAUUAUUUCAUCAUAUGGCACUGUUACGGCUGUGGCCGUAUUUUGGUAAUGUUGUGUUUGUCGUUUUGAAUUGUUUUGUUGUCUGGGAGUGGGUGUUCUGUGUUUGUCUGUAGAUCUUUCUCUCGUCCUUGUUUUCUGUGUAAGUGGUCUGUUCGUCCUGUUGGUUUGUAGUGGGUGUUGUGUUUGUCUGUGGAUCUUUGUGUGCAGGAGCUGAUUGGUGGCAAGGCGGACCUAGCGCUGAUUGGCUGUCAACCAUUUUAAAUCUUGGCGGCAGGCAGUGAUGAGGGGAGCCUCUCUGACAGCAGCACCCUUUGUUUUUUCCCAGACUCCAGACUUUUGCCUUGAUACCCGUGUUUUUUGGUUAGAUUAAGAUAGUGUGUUUUUUGUUUGUUAGACUUGGGUUUAUUUUUGUAGAAGUUGUGGUUUUGUUGGAUAGGAUCUUUUGUUUGAGUGCUAAAAUGCCUCUUUAGUUUGUAUGCAAUUAUUUUGUGUUUUUUUGCUUGAAUGAAUAGCCCAUGUGGUGGCCUCUUUGAUUUGUAGAAGAUUGUAAAUAAACCUUUUGUAAUUUUUCAAGGGAACUGUUCAUCAUUUUUGGGGACUGGGAAAAUAUUCCACCUUAUUUUUUUUAUUUUUAAAAAAAAAACAAACAUUAUGCUGCGCACCUUCCCCCGAGACAGGUGCGUAACAGGCACGUUUUUACAACAUGUUGAAAAAUCGCUUUUUUUUUUUCGACAUAGUAUAGUAAGGCGUUUUUUUUGCGCCAAAAUUCAUUAUGAUUUUUUUUUUUCAAAGAAAACCUUUCUGGAGUGUUUUUCACGGCCUCCUUUACAUUAUUUCAUCAUGUGACACGUUUUUACAACAUGUUUGAAAAAUCCCAUUUUUUUUCGACAUAGUAUAGUAAGGCGUUUUUUUUGCGCCAAAAUUCAUGAUGAUUUUUUUUUCGAAGAAAUCCUUUCUGGAGUGUUUUUCACGGCCUCCUUUACAUUAUUUCAUCGUAUGACACGUUUUUACAACAUGUUUGAAAAAUCGCAAUUUUUUUUCGACAUAGUAUAGUAAGGCGUUUUUUUGCGCCAAAAUUCAUGAUGAUGUUUUUUUCAGAGAAAACCUUUCUGGAGUGUUUUUCACGGC
ensembl:lncRNA